UGGAAUAGAUAAUACAGAAAAUUAUCCAUGCGGAUAUUGUUAAAAAGAGAGAGGUUUUACGCACUAAAUCAGGAAAAUUCAGUAUGAUUUCAGCUUUAAUAAGGAAAAAUAGUGACACCCCUGACCUUCGAAGGCUACCGCUAAUAUAGCGGUUUUUUUUGGUUUACUAUCAAAAACAGAGCUAGAAAGAACUCUCCUAUUUUUAAAUCUUUUCAUUAAGUCAUUGAUUCUACUUU